rnacentral:rRNA from 1 species
CGCGGGAAUUCGAUUCCCGGGUAUCCAAGCUUACGGCUACCUUGCUUACGACUUGACUGCCUUAGUGCUAUGCCGCCUAUAGAGCCUGCUGGUAUCCACGAUCUUACUCUGCACGACUAACGUGUAGUCACUAACUAAUCUCGCGGUGGCCUGCGGGGCGUACAUAUGGCUGAGCUCCCUACACGGAUGGAUAGGAUAACUUGAGAUUACUAUACGAGUCUGCUAUUCUAUGCUUGGCGUUCUCAUGGUAUGAUCUGAACCCUGAGUGAAUUUGAUAUACUGCGUCUCGAUUCCACCUAACAUACGAGUCGAUGAGCCUACCGAUGGUGAGCACUGUGGUGCCCCAUGAUGAGAGCUGAC